UAGAAUUCUGCGCGAUUCCAUAUUUUCAUUUGCUAUAGCCCACGCCUUCCGAGUGGUGCUGGGAACCCCGGACCCCGAUCGCCUAAAAGUUUUCCAGCCAUCAAAUACGACCUAAGGAACCAUAGUCACCGCCCCGCCAUGAUCGUUCUUCAUUUUUUGCGUUUUUCGGCCAAAACACUAGAAUUCCGCCCGAUUACCAUAUUAUUGUGUGCUAUUGCCCAUGCCUUCCGAGUGGGCCGAGCCCCCCGUACUCGGAUCGCCUAAAGUUUUUUCGGGCCAUAAAAUAGGACCUUAGGAACCAUAGUCACCACCUCGCCAUGAUCUUUCCUAAUUUUUCGCAUUUUUCGGCCAAAAAAACUAGAACAUAUUUUUGUGUGCUAUAGACAACGCUUUCCAAGUGGUCCCGGGAUCCCCGGAUAUCGAUCGCCUAAAAUUUUUCCGGGCCAUCAAAUACGACCUAAGGAACCAUAGUAACUGCCCCGCCAAGAUCAUUCCUCAUUUUAUUGCGAUUUCUAGGCAAAAAAACUAGAAUUCCACCCGAUUCCCAUAUUUU
rnacentral:lncRNA from 1 species